AUUGAACGCUGGCGGCAUGCCUUACACAUGCAAGUCGAACGGCAGCACGGGAGCAAUCCUGGUGGCGAGUGGCGAACGGGUGAGUAAAGUAUCGGAACGUGCCCAGUCGUGGGGGAUAACGUAGCGAAAGUUACGCUAAUACCGCAUACGAUCUAUGGAUGAAAGCGGGGGAUCGCAAGACCUCGCGCGAUUGGAGCGGCCGAUAUCAGAUUAGGUAGUUGGUGGGGUAAAGGCUCACCAAGCCGACGAUCUGUAGCUGGUCUGAGAGGACGACAAGCAACAGUGGGACUGGGACACGGCCCAGACUCCUACGGGAGGCAGCAGUGGGGAAUUUUGGACAAUGGGCGAAAGCCUGAUCCAGCCAUGCCGCGUGCAGGAUGAAGGCCUUCGGGUUGUAAACUGCUUUUGUACGGAACGAAAAGGUUUGGCCUAAUAAGCUGAGCUCAUGACGGUACCGUAAGAAUAAGCACCGGCUAACUACGUGCCAGCCGCCGCAGUAA
rnacentral:rRNA from 1 species